GUCGACGAUGAAAGCCCUUCGGGGUGGAUUAGUGGCGAACGGGUGAGUAACACGUGGGCAAUCUGCCCUGCACUCUGGGACAAGCCCUGGAAACGGGGUCUAAUACCGGAUAUUGACCAUCUUGGGCAUCCUUGAUGGUGGAAAGCUCCGGCGGUGCAGGAUGAGCCCGCGGCCUAUCAGCUUGUUGGUGAGGUAAUGGCUCACCAAGGCGACGACGGGUAGCCGGCCUGAGAGGGCGACCGGCCACACUGGGACUGAGACACGGCCCAGACUCCUACGGGAGGCAGCAGUGGGGAAUAUUGCACAAUGGGCGAAAGCCUGAUGCAGCGACGCCGCGUGAGGGAUGACGGCCUUCGGGUUGUAAACCUCUUUCAGCAGGGAAGAAGCGAAAGUGACGGUACCUGCAGAAGAAGCGCCGGCUAACUACGUGCCAGCAGCCGCGGUAAUACGUAGGGCGCGAGCGUUGUCCGGAAUUAUUGGGCGUAAAGAGCUCGUAGGCGGCUUGUCGCGUCGGUUGUGAAAGCCCGGGGCUUAACCCCGGGUCUGCAGUCGAUACGGGCAGGCUAGAGUUCGGUAGGGGAGAUCGGAAUUCCUGGUGUAGCGGUGAAAUGCGCAGAUAUCAGGAGGAACACCGGUGGCGAAGGCGGAUCUCUGGGCCGAUACUGACGCU
rnacentral:rRNA from 1 species